rnacentral:rRNA from 1 species
UACGAAGGGUGCAAGCGUUACUCGGAAUUACUGGGCGUAAAGGGUGCGUAGGUGGUCGUUUAAGUCCGUUGUGAAAUCCCUGGGCCUCAACCUGGGAAUGGCAGUGGAUACUGGACGGCUAGAAUGCGGUAGAGGGUAGUGGAAUUUCCGGUGGAGCGGUGAAAUGCGUAGAGGUCGGAAAGAACACCAACGGCGAAAGCACUCUGCUGGGCCGACACUGACACUGAUAGACGAAAGCUAGGGGAGCAAAUGGG